rnacentral:lncRNA from 1 species
GAUCUCACACACACACACACACAUUCCACGCCCAUGAGGGUGUCACUAUCCACACACACACAUCACACACACACAUUUCCACGCCCAUGAGGGUCCUAUCUACACACACACCCACAUUUCCACCCAUGAGGGUCCUAUCUCACACCACACCACCAUUUUCCACGCCCAUGGGGUCCUAUCUCACACAACACACACACACAUUUCCACGCCCAUGAGGGUCCUAUCUCACACACACACACAUUUCCACGCCCAUGAGGGUCCUAUCUCACACACACACAUUUCCACGCCUAUGAGGGUCUUAUCUCACACAUGACACA